rnacentral:rRNA from 1 species
GAUGAACGCUGGCGGCGUGCCUAAUACAUGCAAGUCGAGCGAACGGACGAGAAGCUUGCUUCUCUGAUGUUAGCGGCGGACGGGUGAGUAACACGUGGAUAACCUACCUAUAAGACUGGGAUAACUUCGGGAAACCGGAGCUAAUACCGGAUAAUAUUUUGAACCGCAUUGUUCAAAAGUGAAAGACGGUCUUGCUGUCACUUCUAGAUGGAUCCGCGCUGCAUUAGCUAGUUGGUAAGUUAACGGCUUACCAAGGCAACGAUGCAUAGCCGACCUGAGAGGGUGAUCGGCCACAUUGGAACUGAGACACGGUCCAGACUCCUACGGGAGGCAGCAGUAGGGAAUCUUCCGCAAAGGGCGAAAGCCUGACGGAGCAACGCCGCGUGAGUGAUGAAGGUCUUCGGAUCGUAAAACUCUGUUAUUAGGGAAGAACAUAUGUGUAAGUAACUGUGCACAUCUUGACGGUACCGAAUCAGAAAGCCACGGCUAACUACGUG